rnacentral:rRNA from 1 species
AGGACGAACGCUGGCGGCGUGCUUAACACAUGCAAGUCAAGGGAGCCCAGCAAUGGGCAACCGGCGAACGGGUGCGUAACACGUGAGCAACCUACCGAACUGUGGGGGAUAGCCGGCCUAACGGCCGAGUAAUACCGCAUACGCUCUCAGAGAGGCAUUUCUUUGAGAGGAAACCUACGGGACAGAUCGAGGGGCUCGCGGCCUAUCAGCUAGUUGGCGAGGUAACGGCUCACCAAGGCAACGACGGGUAGCU